rnacentral:rRNA from 1 species
UACAGAGGGGGCAAGCGUUAUUCGGAAUUAUUGGGCGUAAAGGGCGCGUAGGCGGCUUGGCAAGUGGAUGGGGAAAUCCCUCGGCUUAACCGAGGAACUGCCGUCCAAACUGCUUGGCUUGAGACCAGGAGAGGUGAGUGGAAUUCCCAGUGUAGCGGUGAAAUGCGUAGAUAUUGGGAGGAACACCAGUGGCGAAGGCGGCUCACUGGACUGGUACUGACGCUGAGGCGCGAAAGCGUGGGGAGCAAACGGG